rnacentral:lncRNA from 1 species
CCCCCCCCCAACAUUUACUUGGAAUAUCAAUUUGGAUUUAAAAAUUAAAGUCAAAAAUAGAAUAAACCAUCAAAAAUGAGCAAAUGUGAACAUACCACAUACAUCCCCCAUCUAAAGAAAUGCUAGUCAGGAUUUGCAGUAGUCCAUGAGGUCCUCAAUGGUAAUCUGAUUCCAUAAUAGUAAAAAUUGAUCUCACGGAAAGACAUAUUUCUG